AUACGGAGGAUCCGAGCGUUAUCCGGAUUUAUUGGGUUUAAAGGGAGCGUAGGUGGAUUGUUAAGUCCGUUGUGAAAGUUUGCGGCUCAACCGUAAAAUUGCAGUUGAAACUGGCAGUCUUGAGUACAGUAGAGGUGGGCGGAAUUCGUGGUGUAGCGGGGAAAUGCUUAGAUAUCACGAAGAACUCCGAUUGCGAAGGCAGCUCACUAGACUGUUACUGACACUGAUGCUCGAAAGUGUGGGUAUCAAACAGGAUUAGAUACCCUGGUAGUCCACACAGUAAACGAUGAAUACUCGCUGUUUGCGAUAUACAGUAAGCGGCCAAGCGAAAGCAUUAAGUAUUCCACCUGGGGAGUACGCCGGCAACGGUGAAACUCAAAUGAAUUGACGGGG
rnacentral:rRNA from 1 species